GCCCAGUGGGCAUUCACUUAUCCUAAUUCCUCUCUCCCACCCCAGUCCCUUUCCUUGAUAAAGGAGCUAAAGAUCAGAAGUUGGCAUCCGCUGGGCGGGGCAGGGCCUGCAGAUUGGCUCAACCUGGAUGCAGGCUGCACUCAGGGCAGGAAAUAAGGGGCAGCCCUGAUCCACGCGCAAUGACCAUGUGGCUGGGAGGCAGGGGACAGGCUGGAGGAGAUGUGGCUGGGAUCCACGCUCACGAUGGACCUGCCGGGUCUCCCACAUCCCAGCAGUUUUGCCGUCAAGCUCGCACAGGAUGAGUGAGAGCACCUUGCAGAACCAGAAUCAUGUAUCAGCUUACAAGAAAGGCUUGAGCCACACUGCCCUGUUGAAGUCCCAGCCCCGCUCUGCACUCCUGUGUGACUACCUGUUGCCUUGGCCUCUUCAUCUGCAACGUGGGGGUGACAGCAGGACUCUGGUCCCAGGGUUGCUGGUGAUUAAGAGGAGGUGGAUGCACAGUACUUGUAGCAGCCAUUGUCACUAUGUUGUAAGGUGCUGCACAGGACAAGGAGGAGGACAAGGAGCAGGCCUUGGACGCAGAGGCAGAGUGAGGGCUCUGCUGCGUCUACAUGGAGGGGAGGAGCCAGCCCAGUUCAGUUCUGCCCUGAACUCCAAGUCCAGGCUUUAAAAAAGGAGCCAUAAAAAUGCCAUCUCACUGACGAAGGUCUGGAGCCCUUGACCACCCUGGAAAAACAUCACCUCCGCCCUGCCAAUAUUUAUCUCUUCAGCUUGCUUCUGGCCAAAGUCCACACCAGGCGUGAUUCUACUGCUUGCAGAGCCUUACCACUGACGUCCCUGUACUGAGGGGCUCUGACUGGAGGAGAUAAGCCCAGAGGGGCAGCUGUGUGGAUGCUGUCUCUUGUCACAAAAGAGCCAGCUUGGAAAGGGCAGACAGGCUGGGCUGGCUCCAGAGGUUGGCAACUGACCUUUGUAAGGAAGAGUCAAGAGUCAGAUUCCGUGUCAGAAAGUUAAGAUUACAGAACUCUAAGAAGGAAUUGGAUUCUUUCUCCUCCUUACCCACCUCCCAGUGUAUCAUCUCACCUUGUUUGGCCUGAACUAUUCCAGUGAUUUAAAGCAUUCCUGGGGCUGUCAUAUGACCUCUUCUGAUCCUCACAACCACCCCACAUGGCAGGUGUUGGUGUCAAUGUCCUCAAAUGAGAAAACUGAAAGUCAGAGGACUCAUCUGACUUUGCAGAGGUCCCCAGGAUUCUAGAUGGCAUAGCUCAACUCCUAGACCAGAGCCCUUUCUGCUACAGAAACACGGACUCAUCACCUGCUCAGAGCAGAUGAGCAAAGAGCAAAUCGACACCCUCAGGACCCUGCUCAGGCAAGAUACACUGAGCACUCUACAAGCAGAAGGGAGAGCAGCAGGUCCCAGAGCUUGGGUGGGCUGGGGGAUGGCUAUCAUGUGGGUUUUUCUGUCUCAUUUACUCUACUAGUUUUCCCAAAAGGAUUCCACCAAUACAAAUACU
ensembl:lncRNA